rnacentral:rRNA from 1 species
CGCGUAGGCGGAUUGGAAAGUUGGGGGUGAAAUCCCAGGGCUCAACCCUGGAACUGCCUCCAAAACUACCAGUCUUGAGUUCGAGAGAGGUGAGUGGAAUUCCGAGUGUAGAGGUGAAAUUCGUAGAUAUUCGGAGGAACACCAGUGGCGAAGGCGGCUCACUGGCUCGAUACUGACGCUGAGGUGCGAAAGCGUGGGGAGCAAACA